rnacentral:rRNA from 1 species
UACGUAGGGGGCUAGCGUUGUCCGGAAUCAUUGGGCGUAAAGAGCGUGUAGGCGGCCAGAUAGGUCCGUUGUGAAAACUCGAGGCUCAACCUCGAGACGCCGAUGGAAACCAUUUGGCUAGAGUCCGGAAGAGGAGAGUGGAAUUCCUGGUGUAGCGGUGAAAUGCGCAGAUAUCAGGAAGAACACCCGUGGCUAAGGCGGCUCUCUAGUACGGUACUGACGCUGAGACGCGAAAGCGUGGGGAGCGAACAGG